rnacentral:rRNA from 1 species
UUCUAUGACGUUAGCGGCGGACGGGUGAGUAACACGUGGGCAACCUGCCUGUAAGACUGGGAUAACUCCGGGAAACCGGAGCUAAUACCGGAUAACAUUUUCUCUUGCAUAAGAGAAAAUUGAAAGAUGGUUUCGGCUAUCACUUACAGAUGGGCCCGCGGUGCAUUAGCUAGUUGGUGAGGUAACGGCUCACCAAGGCAACGAUGCAUAGCCGACCUGAGAGGGUGAUCGGCCACACUGGGACUGAGACACGGCCCAGACUCCUACGGGAGGCAGCAGUAGGGAAUCUUCCGCAAUGGACGAAAGUCUGACGGAGCAACGCCGCGUGAGUGAUGAAGGCUUUCGGGUCGUAAAACUCUGUUGUUAGGGAAGAACAAGUACAAGAGUAACUGCUUGUACCUUGACGGUACCUAACCAGAAAGCCACGGCUAACUACGUGCCAGCAGCCGCGGUAAUACGUAGGUGGCAAGCGUUAUCCGGAAUUAUUGGGCGUAAAGCGC